GUGCAGGAACGUGAUGAGGAAGUAAAAGGAAUUACAAAAUGGUUGACAGGGUAACUGUCCUUUGAGUAAAGUUUAAAAAUCUCUUGGAUAUUAUUCCGAUUUAUCAGAUUUAGAGUGAGUGAACUCUGAUGACAUGGUUAGAACUCUAAAAACUACAUUUCCCAUGAGCUCUCUCUGCCAUCGCUUUAGAAAAUCAGGGAAAUCCAGAACCCUCCUAAUUGCUGUGACUAGAAACAAGGAACAUUUCUGAAUGUAUCAAACACUUUUCCACUUACAAAAACCACACCAAGAAAUGUUAUGAUUUAGAAAAGUUUAUUUUAAUAUGCACAGCUAGAUCGACAUGAUGAAUGAGGUUUGCAUGAUGGGAAGAUUUAUGAUGGUUUAUGAAGGUCGAGGAGUGAAGGGAUGAGGGUAAGAGUCGAGGAGAGAAGGGAUGAAGGUAAGGGUAGAGGGAGGAAGGUAAGAGUCGAGGAGAGAAGGGAUGAAGGUAAGGGUCAAGGAGUGAAGGGAUGAAAGAAAGGGUCGAGGGAGGAAGGGAGGAAGGUAAGGGUCAAGGAGUGAAGGGAUGAAGGAAAGGGUCGAGGGAGGAAGUUAAGGGUAUAGGAGUGAAGGGAUGAAGGUAAGGGUCAAAGAGUGAAGGGAGGAAGGUAAGAGUCGAGAAGAGAAGGGAUGAAGGAAAGGGUCGAGGGAGGAAGGUAAGGGUAGAGGAGUGAAGGGAUGAAGGUAAGGGUCAAGGAGUGAAGGGAUGAAGGAAAGGGUCAAGGGAGGAAGGUAUGGGUAGAGGAGUGAAGGGAUGAAGGUAAGGGUCAAAGAGUGAAGGGAUGAAGGUAAGGGUCAAGGAGUGAAGGGAUGAAGGGAUGAAGGUAAGGGUCGAGGAGUGAAGGGAUGAAGGUAAGGGUCGAGGAGUGAAGGGAUGAAGGUAAGGGUUGAGGGAUUCAAACCAUUGUAAGGUUGGCUAAAAGUAAACAAUAAACACCGGACAUAAUUCAUAAAUUUGUACUUUGGGAGCAGAGAACGUGAAUGAAGAAAUCAUUUCUGGUACAGUGAACACUUUUAGGACCUCAGGUGACCUUUACAAGAAACAAACACCCCCUGCUGCUGAGACGGUUACCUUCAUAUAAACAGUCAGGAGUAAUGUGUGUGUUUGUGUG